UCUCUGUUGGUGAACCAGCGGAGGGAUCAUUACCGAGUUUACAACUCCCAAACCCAAUGUGAACCAUACCAAACUGUUGCCUCGGCGGGGUCACGCCCCGGGUGCGUCGCAGCCCCGGAACCAGGCGCCCGCCGGAGGGACCAACCAAACUCUUUCUGUAGUCCCCUCGCGGACGUUAUUUUUACAGCUCUGAGCAAAAAUUCAAAAUGAAUCAAAACUUCCAACAACGGAUCUCUUGGUUCUG
rnacentral:misc_RNA from 1 species